rnacentral:rRNA from 1 species
UUGCCUACGGGUGGCAGCAGUGGGGAAUCUUGCGCAAUGGGCGAAAGCCUGACGCAGCAACGCCGCGUGAGCGAAGAAGGCCUUCGGGUUGUAAAGCUCUGUCAGGAGGGACGAAGCCACUCGGGUUAAUAGCCCAGAGGGUGACGGUACCUCCAGAGGAAGCCCCGGCUAACUACGUGCCAGCAGCCGCGGUAAUACGUAGGGGGCGAGCGUUGUCCGGAAUCAUUGGGCGUACAGCGCGUGUAGGCGGCCGUCCAAGUCCGAUGGGAAAGCUCGGGGCUCAACCCCGAGUCUGCAUUGGAAACUGGUUGGCUUGAGUCCGGAAGAGGAGACUGGAAUUCCUGGUGUAGCGGUGAAAUGCGCAGAUAUCAGGAAGAACACCGGUGGCGAAGGCGGGUCUCUGGGACGGUACUGACGCUGAGACGCGAAAGCGUGGGGAGCAAACAGGAUUAGAUACCCCAGUAGUU